rnacentral:hammerhead_ribozyme from 1 species
AUCCAACUGACGAGUCCCAAAUAGGACGAAGUGUCGCGCCUCCUGGAU